rnacentral:rRNA from 1 species
UCUUAAUCCAACAUCGAGGUCGCAAUCCAUUUUGUCGAUAUGAACUCUCAAAAAUGAUUACGCUGUUAUCCCUAAGGUAACUUAAUCUUUUGAUCAUAAAUUAUGGAUCAAAUAAACAUAAAUCAAUGAUUUAAUAAUGAAGAGUUUAAUUAUUCUUCAUGUCACCCCAACCUAACAUUAUAAAAAUUAUAUUUAAAAAUCUAAACUAAAAUAAUAUAAAAUCUUUAAAUGUAAAGCUCUAUAGGGUCUUCUCGUCCUAAAAAAAAAUUUAAGCCUUCUAACUCAAAAGUUAAAUUCUAAAUUUUAUUAAGAGGCAUUUUGUUUUCUCGUCAAUCCCUUCAUUCAAGCCCCUAAUUAAGAAACUAAUGAUUAUGCUUACCUUUGCACGGU